rnacentral:rRNA from 1 species
UACGUAGGGUGCAGGCGUUAAUCGGAAUUACUGGGCGUAAAGCGUGCGCAGGCGGUUUGCUAAGACAGGUGUGAAAUCCCCCGGGCUUAGCCUGGGAACUGCGCUUGUUACUGGCAAGCUUGAGUGUGGCAGAGGGGGGGUGGAAUUCCACGUGUAGCAGUGAAAUGCGUAGAGAUGUGGAGGAACACCGAUGGCGAAGGCAGCCCCCUGGGCUAACACUGACGCUCAUGCACGAAAGCGUGGGGAGCAAACAGG